rnacentral:rRNA from 1 species
UACGGGAGGCAGCAGUAGGGAAUCUUCCACAAUGGGCGAAAGCCUGAUGGAGCAACGCCGCGUGUGUGAUGAAGGGUUUCGGCUCGUAAAACACUGUUGUAAGAGAAGAAUGACAUUGAGAGUAACUGUUCAAUGUGUGACGGUAUCUUACCAGAAAGGAACGGCUAAAUACGUGCCAGCAGCCGCGGU